rnacentral:rRNA from 1 species
GCGCGAAAACUCUGCAAUAGGCGAAAGCUUGACAGGGUUAUUCUGAGUGAUCUCCGUUAAGGAAAUCUUUUGGCACCUCUAAAAAUGGUGCAGAAUAAGGGGUGGGCAAGCCUGGUGUCAGCCGCCGCGGUAAUACCAGCACCCCGAGUGGUCGGGACGAUUAUUGGGCCUAAAGCAUCCGUAGCCGGUUCUACAAGUCUUCCGUUAAAUCCACCUGCUUAACAGAUGGGCUGCAGAGGAUACUAUAGAGCUAGGAGGCGGGAGAGGCAAGCGGUACUCAGUGGGUAGGGGUAAAAUCCGUUGAUCCACUGAAGACCACCAGUGGCGAAGGCGGCUUGCCAGAACGCGCUCGACGGUGAGGGAUGAAAGCUGGGGGAGCAAACCGGAUUAGAUACCCGGGUAGUCCCAGCUGUAAACGAUGCAGACUCGGUGAUGAAUAGGCUUAGUGCCUAUUCAGUGCCGCAGGGAAGCCGUUAAGUCUGCCGCUGGGGGAUACGGUC